rnacentral:ncRNA from 17 species
GCUUUAUCGAGAGUGGUGGAGGGAAAGGCCCUGUGAAACCACAGCAACCGGUUCGCGAAAGCGAAUGCCAGGUGCUAAAUCCUGCCGACUGACCAGGCGAAGAUGAGGU